UCUCCCUAUAAACGGUGAGUCGUCUCCAUUGAGCGUCGACCGUGGAGUCCAGAUUCUUCUGAGAUCCUUUUUUUUUUCUGCGCGUAUUCGCUGCCUGGCAGAUUUGCAGCAGGCGCGAAACCUCCGUAAUGCGAGCAAUCGCGACGGGGGAAACCCAAGUACCACUCUUAACGGGGUGGUUUUUCUGAAGUGUAAAAAGCUUCAGGAAUAAGAGCUGGGCAAGACCGGUGCCAGCCGCCGCGGUAAUACAAU
rnacentral:rRNA from 1 species